rnacentral:ncRNA from 2 species
CUAAAUGGCCCAGUCCAAGGCUCCCUGCGGAUGAAAAGGGAAGACCGGUGAGAUUCCGGCACGGUCCCGCCACUGUAAUAGAGGAGCUUUCCGCUUUACUGCCACUGAUCAAAGAUUGGGAAGGCGAGCGGAAAGCAAUGAUCCUUAAGUCAGGAGACCUGCCUGUUCUGACAACACUGC